AAUUAAUCAAAGAUCUUGGGAACACUGUAAUGAAAUUUCAUGUCAGCUGCAUCGCUGGACGAGUGCAAAGAAUGCUGCAAAAUGUGUGACGAAGGAGAUAUUUCAGACUGUUUGCAAGUGUGCAAAGUUACAUAUGAAUAUUAGCUUAAGACUAUUCUAGACAUUGAGGGACAACACAUUACAACUGCAUAAUAUACAACAGGUUCUCUAGCCAUCACAGUUUAAUCAAUAAAAAGGACUAUAAUCAAUUUCCCGUUGGACCGAUCUUUGGUACACCAUCAA